GACGAACGCUGGCGGCGUGCUUAGCACAUGCAAGUCGAACGAUGAACCCGGAGCUUGCUCCGGUGGAUUAGUGGCGAACGGGUGAGUAACACGUGAGUAACCUGCCCUUGACUCUGGGAUAACUGCGGGAAACUGUAGCUAAUACCGGAUACGACCCUCGGCGGCAUCGCCAGGGGGUGGAAAGAAUUUCGGUCAAGGAUGGACUCGCGGCCUAUCAGCUAGUUGGUGAGGUAACGGCUCACCAAGGCGACGACGGGUAGCCGGCCUGAGAGGGUGUCCGGCCACACUGGGACUGAGACACGGCCCAGACUCCUACGGGAGGCAGCAGAGGGGAAUAUUGCACAAUGGGCGCAAGUCUGAUGCAGCAACGCCGCGUGAGGGAUGACGGCCUUCGGGUUGUAAACCUCUUUUAGUAGGGAAGAAGCGAAAGUGACGGUACCUGCAGAAAAAGCACCGGCUAACUACGUGCCAGCCGCCGCCGUAA
rnacentral:rRNA from 1 species